rnacentral:misc_RNA from 1 species
CAAAAAUUAAGCAAACAUGUGAC